AGAACAGCAUGUGCUUGUAAGCAUUGAGCCAUCGCUCCAGCCUCUAUUGAGAACAUCACAGGAAAGACACACCAUUGUGCAGUCCCAAGGAGAACUACUAGUCUUAUGAGCUUCAGGGAGUAGCGCUAUUAGGAGGUGUGACCUUGUUGGAAGAAGUGUGUCGCCGUGGGGGUGGGCUUCGAGAGACCUUCCUCUUAGCUGCCUGGAAGCCAGUCUUCUCCUGUCUGCUUUUUGGAACAAGAUGUAGAACUCUCAGCUCCUCCAGCUCCCAGCCCGCCUGGAUGCUGUCAUGCUCCCUGCCAUGAUGAUAAUGGACUGAACCUCAGAACCAGUGGCCUGUGGACUGGAAAGCAACAGGUCUGAUGAAGACCCCACGGGUGUCUGAUCCUCCACCAUCGCUUUUGAAGCUUCCCUUGUGCCUAUACUGAGACAAGCAUCCACUAUGGCGCUACAUUUCCAGCCUUUGAGAUAUCUCCCUUGCAAAGCCAGGUUGGACAGUUCCUGGAGGAUGGCUAUGAUAUCUGCAUAAGAGUCAUAGACACGGAGUCAACCAGUUCCCGUCUACACGCUGUGGAUAUAGCUCAAUGAUAGGACAUUAGGGUAGCAUGCAGUGAGGCUCUGUAUUCCAUCUCAGCCCUACAACAACGAAACAAACCAAAUAAACUCUCUAGUAUAUACGGAGA
ensembl:lncRNA